rnacentral:rRNA from 1 species
AUUGAACGCUGGCGGCAGGCUUAACACAUGCAAGUCGAGCGGGGGAAGGUAGCUUGCUACCGGACCUAGCGGCGGACGGGUGAGUAAUGCUUAGGAAUCUGCCUAUUAGUGGGGGACAACAUCUCGAAAGGGAUGCUAAUACCGCAUACGUCCUACGGGAGAAAGCAGGGGAUCUUCGGACCUUGCGCUAAUAGAUGAGCCUAAGUCGGAUUAGCUAGUUGGUGGGGUAAAGGCCUACCGAGGCGACGAUCUGUAGCGGGUCUGAGAGGAUGAUCCGCCACACUGGGACUGAGACACGGCCCAGACUCCUACGGGAGGCAGCAGUGGGGAAUAUUGGACAAUGGGGGGAACCCUGAUCUAGCCAUGCCGCGUGUGUGAAGAAGGCCUUAUGGUUGUAAAGCACUUUAAGCGAGGAGGAGGCUACUUUAGUUAAUACCUAGAGAUAGUGGACGUUACUCGCAGAAUAAGCACCGGCUAACUCUGUGCCAGCCGCCGCAGUAA